rnacentral:lncRNA from 1 species
GGGCAUGCUCAAUCCGUUCCAAUCAAGGGAGGAAAAGGGGAAGAGCUCGAUUCCUAAGGGUCGAUUUGAGGUGUAAGGGGUGAUGGGAGAAAAAUCUUGGGGGAAGGACUUGGGUUUGGAGAGGAAGAAAAGGGGACCUAAGGUUUUGGAGGGAGGAAGAAGACGGUGGAAUGGGUCGGCUCAAAGAAUGGGUUUUCAACAAAAAGAAGGAGCCCGUGGGAUUUUGGCCAAAACUAUAAGUUUGCCC